GAUGAACGCUAGCGGGAGGCCUAACACAUGCAAGCCGAGCGGUAUUGCUUCUUCGGAAAUGAGAGAGCGGCGUACGGGUGCGUAACACGUGUGCAACCUGCCUUUAUCUGGGGGAUAGCCUUUCGAAAGGAAGAUUAAUACUCCAUAAUAUAUUGAACGGCAUCGUUUAAUAUUGAAAGCUCCGGCGGAUAGAGAUGGGCACGCGCAAGAUUAGCUAGUUGGUGAGGUAACGGCUCACCAAGGCGAUGAUCUUUAGGGGGCCUGAGGGGGUGAUCCCCCACACUGGUACUGAGACACGGACCAGACUCCUACGGGAGGCAGCAGUGAGGAAUAUUGGUCAAUGGGUGCAAGCCUGAACCAGCCAUCCCGCGUGAAGGACGACUGCCCUAUGGGUUGUAAACUUCUUUUGUAUAGGGAUAAACCUACCCUCGAGAGGGUAGCUGAAGGUACUAUACGAAUAAGCACCGGCUAACUCCGUG
rnacentral:rRNA from 1 species